AUUGCUUCUCAGCCUUUGGCUAAGAUCAAGUGUAGUAUCUGUUCUUAUCAGUUUAAAAAAGGAAAAAUAAAACAUUUGUAGUAUAAAUGCACUAUAAAUACAUGAAUUCUUCAAGUUUUAUAACCAUU
rnacentral:snRNA from 1 species